rnacentral:tRNA from 1 species
GGGCCCGUAGCUCAGCUGGUUAGAGCAUUCGACUCAUAAUCGACAGGUCGACAGUUCAAGUCUGUCCGGGCCCACCA